CGUUCCCGGGCCUUGUACACACCGCCCGUCACACCAUGGGAGUUGGUUUUACCCGAAGCCGGUGCGCUAACCCGCAAGGGGGGCAGCCGACCACGGUAAGGUCAGCGACUGGGGUG
rnacentral:rRNA from 1 species